GAGAGCCGGAUGCCCGGCCAACGGGCACGUCCGGUUCGGGAGGCGGGCCGCAGAAACGGACCAGCGGAAACGCUGGCACCGCGCUGCGGUCCGACCUCAC
rnacentral:ncRNA from 1 species